rnacentral:rRNA from 1 species
UACGUAGGGGGCAAGCGUUGUCCGGAUUUAUUGGGCGUAAAGCGCGUGUAGGUGGCCAAGUAGGUCCGCUGUGAAAACUUGAGGCUCAACCUCAAGCUGUCGGUGGAAACCCCUUGGCUAGAGUCCGGAAGAGGAGAGUGGAAUUCCUGGUGUAGCGGUGAAAUGCGCAGAUAUCAGGAAGAACACCAAUGGCGAAGGCAGCUCUCUGGGACGAUACUGACACUGAGACGCGAAAGCGUGGGGAGCGAACAGG